UACGUAGGGGGCAAGCGUUGUCCGGAUUUAUUGGGAGUAAAGAGCGUGUAGGCGGCCAUACAGGUCAGCUGUGAAAACUCGAGGCUCAACCUCGAGACGUCGGUUGAAACCGUAUGGCUAGAGUCCGGAAGAGGAGAGUGGAAUUCCCGGUGUAGCGGUGAAAUGCGCAGAUAUCGGGAAGAACACCUAUGGCGAAGGCAGCUCUCUGGGACGGUACUGACGCUGAGACGCGAAAGCGUGGGGAGCGAACAGG
rnacentral:rRNA from 1 species